UAAUACUGAGGGUGCAAGCGUUAAUCGGAAUUACUGGGCGUAAAGCGCGCGUAGGCGGUUUGGUCAGUCAGAUGUGAAAGCCCCGGGCUUAACCUGGGAACUGCAUUUGAAACUGCCAGACUAGAGUGUGGUAGAGGGAAGUGGAAUUCCGCGUGGAGCGGUGAAAUGCGUAGAGAUGCGGAGGAACACCAGUGGCGAAGGCGACUUCCUGGACCAACACUGACGCUCAGGUGCGAAAGCGUGGGGAGCAAACAGGAUUAGAUACCCUGGUAGUCCACGCCGUAAACGAUGUCUACUAGCCGUUGGGGAGCUUGUCUCCAUAGUGGCGCAGCUAACGCGAUAAGUAGACCGCCUGGGGAGUACGGUCGCAAGACUA
rnacentral:rRNA from 1 species